rnacentral:rRNA from 1 species
GAUGAACGCUGGCGGCGUGCCUAACACAUGCAAGUCGAGCGAGAUGUAUAUGGACGAAACUUCGGUCUAGGAAAUAUAUUGACAGCGGCGGACGGGUGAGUAACGCGUAGGCAACCUGCCCCAAACACAGGGAUAGCCCCGGGAAACCGGGAUUAAAACCUGAUAAUGCCAAAUAGUCACAUGGCUGUUUGGCCAAAGAUUUAUCGGUUUGGGAUGGGCCUGCGUCUGAUUAGUUUGUUGGCGGGGUAACGGCCUACCAAGGCUACGAUCUGUAGCCGACCUGAGAGGGUGAUCGGCCACAUUGGAACUGAGACACGGUCCAAACUCCUACGGGAGGCAGCAGUGGGGAAUAUUGCACAAUGGGCGAAAGCCUGAUGCAGCAACGCCGCGUGAGCGACGAAGGCCUUUGGGUCGUAAAGCUCUGUCCUUGGGGAAGAAACAAAUGACGGUACCCAAGGAGGAAGCCCCGGCUAACUACGUGCCAGCCGCCGCAGUAAAAC